rnacentral:lncRNA from 1 species
GCAAAUAAGAAACUCUAUUUUAGGGUUUACCAAAUUUGAACUUCUUCACCAAACCACAAUAAAAAAUAGUCACCACCUAUGACGAAUCAUCGUCUUCGCAACCAGGCCGUUGGGGCACACGAUGGUUGAAGAGUCGUCGUCUCCGAAGAGACGUUGUUGAAGCACUCAAAAUCGAAGUUGAGAACUCAAUAGGAAGAAACAUCGUUGUUGAACAAACGUCAUCGCAGAACAUCGGCAAAGGAGAUGAUACA